rnacentral:rRNA from 1 species
UUUCCGGUUGAUCCUGCCGGACCUGACUGCUAUCGGAUUGGUACUAAGCCAUGUGAGUCAUUGUAGCAAUACAAGGCAUACGGCUCAGUAACACGUAGUCAAUCUGCCCUAUGGACGUGGAUAACCUCGGGAAACUGAGAAUAAUCCGCGGUAGAUCAUAAUGCCUGGAACGGUUUAUGGUCCAAAUGAUUCGUCGCCAUAGGAUGGGACUGCGGCCUAUCAGCUUGUUGGUGAGGUAAUGGCCCACCAAGGCUAUUACAGGUACGGGCUCUGAGAGGAGAAGCCCGGAGAUGGGUACUGAGACACGGACCCAGGCCCUAUGGGGCGCAGCAGGCGAGAAACCUUUGCAAUGUGCGCAAGCACGACAAGGUUAAUCCGAGUGUUUCCUGCUAAAGGAAUCUUUUGUUAGUUCUAAAACCACUGAUGAAUAAGGGGUGGGCAAGUUCUGGUGUCAGCCGCCGCGGUAAAACCAGCACCUCAAGUGGUCAGGAUGAUUAUUGGGCCUAAAGCAUCCGUAGCUCGUUUUGUAAGUUUUCGGUUAAAUCCAUGCGCUUAACGUAUGGGCUGCCGGGAAUACUGCAUAACUAGGAAGUGGGAGAGGUAGACGGUACUCGGUAGGAAGGGGUAAAAUCCUUUGAUCUAUUGAUGACCACCUGUGGCGAAAGCGGUCUACCAGAACACGUUCGACGGUGAGGGAUGAAAGCUGGGGGAGCAAACCGGAUUAGAUACCCGGGUAGUCCCAGCUGUAAACGAUGCAAACUCGGUGAUGCACCGGCUUAAUGCCGGCGCAGUGCCGCAGGGAAGCCGUUAAGUUUGCCGCCUGGGAAGUACGGUCGCAAGGCUGAAACUUAAAGGAAUUGGCGGGG